ensembl:lncRNA
UUGCAGUUUUACAAGUGAGAAGCGAAGUACUCUCAAAGGAAAGCAUUUGACUUUGAAACAGACCUCAAAAGGCAAAUAUGUCAUUCUGAGACACUUGAAAAAAAAGAUUUCAAGAAUUUGGGACUUCUGAAUGAAAAUGCAUGUGUUCAUCUGAGGACUAUUUUGACAGUAGAAUUUAGCAAGAAAAACUGUAAACAUCUGAUACCUGAAGAACAGAGCAGCAGAUAAGAAAACUUUAAAAAGCUAUAACAUUCUUGGAGACCCCAGUGAGACGACUCCGCCACCGUGAGAUGGCCUCCCUCCAUGUCUCCCCGCGCAGGAGGCAGGGUGUAGGGGAGGUGCCCCCUGAGAUGAUCCAGGGCCCUGCAUCCCAGAUGCUGACCUGAGGGACAUGGAAGGACCAGCGAUCAAGACAACAUUUCUGAGUUCCCAGGAACCCUCCACUUGGAGGUCAACUUCUUGGAUGUCCAGGACACAAGAUAGAUUCACCAGCCAUCUCACCAUUCC